GACGAACGCUGGCGGCGUGCUUAACACAUGCAAGUCGAACGGAAAGGCCCUGCGUUUGUGGGGUGCUCGAGUGGCGAACGGGUGAGUAACACGUGAGUAACCUGCCCUUGACUUUGGGAUAACUUCAGGAAACUGGGGCUAAUACCGGAUAGGAGCUCCUGUUGCAUGGUGGGGGGGGGAAAGUUUCGGCGGUUGGGGAUGGACUCGCGGCUUAUCAGCUUGUUGGUGGGGUAGUGGCUUACCAAGGCUUUGACGGGUAGCCGGCCUGUGAGGGUGACCGGCCACAUUGGGACUGAGAUACGGACCAGACUCCUACGGGAGGCAGCAGUGGGGAAUAUUGCACAAUGGGCGGAAGCCUGAUGCAGCAACGCCGCGUGCGGGAUGACGGCCUUCGGGUUGUAAACCGCUUUCGCCUGUGACGAAGCGUGAGUGACGGUAAUGGGUAAAGAAGCACCGGCUAACUACGUG
rnacentral:rRNA from 1 species